GGCCUGAUGCCACGUCUCCGGUAGCCAAAGAGCAUUGAUCGGAGAUGCUUUGAUUAGGCCAAAACAAAGUUGUUUCAACAUUUCACAUGUUGAUAGGAACCUGGGGAUUGCAUCUCUAUCUGUCCACAGAGCCGGUUUCUGUGAUUACAUUU